UUUUUUUUCUGUUAGUGUAUGGAACUGAGGUGCUUCGUCAGGAGCUCCUUCAGUUGUUGGAGGAUGGAGAAGAGGACGCAGCCAUGACUUGUGAGACGUCGUCUGAGUCAGCUGCUACUCACUGGGCGAUCAGAAAUAUGGUGUCCUCGCAAAAGUGGAAAGAGGCCAGGCCUUGUCUUAUAGAUAAUAUGUUAGCUACUCUGGAUCCACAGUCACACCGUGUGUGUCAGUGUGGCAAACAAGUAGUUGUGAGGUGUCUGGACUGCCUGCCUCUCCCAUUCCUUUGUGCUGACUGUGAUAUUGCAGUUCACACACGCUUUGUCCUGCACAACAGAGAGGCAGUAACAGGAGGGUUUUUGCAGCCUUCAUCACAGUUUAGUUCGGCUGUUGCCUGUGCAAAGGCCAGAACAUGUGUGUGACUGCCCAGCAGGUAACGUUGAGGUUUCACGCGGCGCAAUUGUGGCUCUUGUAACCAUAAAUGUCUUUCUAUGACAUUAAGAAGGCUGCACCAGGGAUGUCACUUAAGGCAUUUGUCAAAGUGCUGGAUGAACGAACAGCCAUUUUGGAAGGACUGGCCGAAUAUCAGCUGAUGCCUUCAGUAAAAGUUUCUUGGAGUGGAGUGCUGUAAAGUUUGAGGUGGACAGGAUGUGCAAGGAGCCAUGCUUUAGCUGCCCUGCCUGCACUCCAGACAUGCUUGCCGUCUCAGUUGAUGGAAACCGCAAGCUUUAUCGCUUUCAGUCUAAUGCAAGGUCCCAGGGAAAGGGUUGUGCGGAUCUUCAUCUUGGACUGCAGCAAAGGAGUCGUCCAAAAAGUCCACUGGGAAGUUGGAUGAAGAGGGCGUGGAAAUAGCUGUUUGUCACCACGGAGUCCUCUUAGCUGCAUUGAACAUGUUUCGAGGGGAGAUCUUUGCUUACCCUCUUUUUCUCCAGAGGAAGUUGGCAGCUAGCUUCCCAGGACAUAUUACGUUCCUUUGCUCUGAUGUGGCCUGUAAAUAUUUCCCCCUAUUUAACCAAGGUGGCUCAGCAGUGCCCUGAGCUGAGGAACCUCUUGUCAAUGCGUCCUUUUCUCUCCGUCAUGCAUGCAAAGGCUCACACUUGGAAAUGCAAGGUAUACUGCAGCCUCGAUACGCGCUUCGCGGAAACGCCCCCUCCAUUACUCGACACACGCUCCGAAGCCUCGAUACAGAACGACCCAUCACUACCUGCCCGGGUGUGGCAGCGUGUGUGGAGUUUUGGAGCGAGUGUGCGGAGGAGCUGUGGCGGUGACUGUGUGGAAGAGGAAGCGUGUGUGUGGAUUUCCCCCCUCCUUCUCUCCUUGGAGCGCUGGACCCCCCUCCCAACUCACUGUACAUAUAUAUAGCAC
ensembl:lncRNA